rnacentral:rRNA from 1 species
UAGGUGAACCUGCGGAAGGAUCAUUGUCGAAUCCUAUAAGCAUGACCGAGGACAUGUAAAUUAUUUGGGUAAGCGUUGGCAUGCCUUUUGGCUGUUCAUCGCCCCCACCUGGCCUGCCGGGAGGCUUGCACUCCUUGCUGUCCGGAACUAACGAACCCCGGCGCAAACAGCGCCAAGGAAUCAUAAGCGGAUGAGAUCUUUCAUGUGGUCCGAACUCGGGCCACAUGGGAUGAAUGUCUAUCAAAUAUAAUAACGACUCUCGGCAACGGAUAUCUCGGCUCUUGCAUCGAUGAAGAACGUAGCGAAAUGCGAUACUUGGUGUGAAUUGCAGAAUCCCGUGAACCAUCGAGUCUUUGAACGCAAGUUGCGCCCGAAGCCAUUAGGCUAAGGGCACGUCUGCCUGGGCGUCACGUUUUGUGUUUCCCCUAACUAUAUGGGUUUUGGGGGAGAAGCUUGGCCUCCCGUGCGUUUCAACUCGCGGAUGGCUUAAAAAUGAGCCUCGGGAUGUUGACGAUGUCGCGACAAGUGGUGGUCAGGAGGCAUUUGAGCCUCAGAGCUUUGCGAGUCGCGCAUCUGAUUCUCCUCAUGCAUAUAGUAACCCGAAUGGGGUGUCCUUGACGUCGCCAGCAUUGCGACCCCAGGUCAGG